rnacentral:pre_miRNA from 1 species
CAGAAACUUAAAAGUAGAAGGGACAGAGACAAGUGAAGAAGAGAACGUCUCUUCUUCACUUGUCUCUGUUCCUUCUACUUUUAAGUUUCUG